AAUAAAUGAUGACAAUAUUAUUAUCCUGACAAACCUUUGGAGGGAAUUACUGAUUUAAUGAGUCUGACAA